rnacentral:rRNA from 1 species
AGUGAACGCUGGCGGUAGGCCUAACACAUACAAGUCGAACGGCAGCAUAGUAAGAGCUUGCUCUUACGGGUGGCGAGUGGCGGACGGGUGAGGAAUACAUCGGAAUCUACUUUUUCGUGGGGGAUAACGUAGGGAAACUUACGCUAAUACCGCAUACGACCUACGGGUGAAAGCAGGGGAUCUUCGGACCUUGCGCGAUUGAAUGAGCCGAUGUCGGAUUAGCUAGUUGGCGGGGUAAAGGCCCACCAAGGCGACGAUCCGUAGCUGGUCUGAGAGGAUGAUCAGCCACACUGGAACUGAGACACGGUCCAGACUCCUACGGGAGGCAGCAGUGGGGAAUAUUGGACAAUGGGCGCAAGCCUGAUCCAGCCAUACCGCGUGGGUGAAGAAGGCCUUCGGGUUGUAAAGCCCUUUUGUUGGGAAAGAAAAGCAGCAGGUUAAUACCCCGCUGUUCUGACGGUACCCAAAGAAUAAGCACCGGCUAACUUCGUG